GACGAACGCUGGCGGCGUGCUUAACACAUGCAAGUCGAACGGUGAAGCGCCUUCCUUUUUGGUGGGUGUGGAUGAGUGGCGAACGGGUGAGUAACACGUGAGUAGCCUGCCCCCUUCUUCUGGAUAACCGCAUGAAAGUGUGGCUAAUACGGGAUAUUCUGGGUCUGUCGCAUGAUGGGUCUGGGAAAGAUAUUGUUUCGGUGGGGGAUGGGCUCGCGGCCUAUCAGCUUGUUGGUGGGGUGAUGGCCUACCAAGGCGGUGACGGGUAGCCGGCCUGGGAGGGUGGACGGUCCCACUGGGACUGAGCCACGGCGCAGACUCCUACGGGAGGCAGCAGUGGGGAAUAUUGCACAAUGGGCGCAAGCCUGAUGCAGCGACGCCGCGUGAGGGAUGGAGGCCUUCGGGUUGUGAACCUCUUUCGCCAGUGAAGCAGGCCUGCCUCGUUUGUGGGUGGGUUGACGGUAGCUGGAUAAGAAGCGCCGGCUAACUACGUG
rnacentral:rRNA from 1 species